CAGUCCUAUUGUUUUACAAAUUGUCCACAUGCUCCUUUUCCCUCCUGCCUAAUUUCCCUCUUCCCCCCAUCCCCAGGCUCUCCCCUCUCCAGGUUUCUUCAGGGGUAGUGUGUAUGAUAAGCCUUAAUAGAGGGUAAAAGAGGAGGGUAGUCAAGGGGCUGCGGCCUGGGGAGGAGGAAAGAACAAUUCUUAAUCAUCCUUUAAUCCCCUGUUCAGGAUGUCACCCCAAACACCCAAACUUUCGGUGAACAGAACCAGAUAUUCCCCAGACGAUGUAACCUACGUUGCUUGACAGUGAGUUAAAGUUGUGUGGUUUCCAACACAUCCUUCUGCAUCUUUCUAUCGCAAAGGACAUCCCCUCCUGAAGUGUAAAUAGUAACUUCCUUUGGGAGAGGUGAGUCUUCAAAUAAGAGGGGCUCCGGAUUGGUGCUCUGCAGUCUGCGCAGGUACCAAAACAGGCAGGUUAGGUGGGAGAAGUGGGGAGGUGAAGCGCGAAGCGAGCAGUGGGGUGCAAUUCUGGCUACGGCCACGAAGAAGCAGCACUGUUCGUUCAGGGACUGGAGCUGCUUGCCACCCCGGAGAGUGGCGGAGGGCGUUGUAAAUUACGCGCUCGGUUGUGAGCUCCCUAGGGGCUGAGUGGGGCCUCUGUGCUUCCCCCCUCCCCCGCGCGCUCAUCGCGUGCGGGCCUGCGACGGGAGAGCUCUCUCGGCCUGCGCUUGCGGCAGUCCUGGCUGUGGCCCCCAAGGCAGCAACGGGGGAGGGAGCUGGUGCAUCCCAUUUUCUUCCCAGAGGAGGCUCGGUACCUACUUUGCUUCCACUACCCUUUUCGCCGGUGCUACUGCACUAUACAUGGGAGAAAACUGGCCAGCGGGCAAGGGCUCCUGGCUGUUCCAGAGGAUGGCAAGUAUGGCUCAGAACUCUUAAGAUUGGGAGCUGGAAGAGACCUCGGCUCACAGAUAAGAAAACUGAAGCCCAGCGAAGCAACGUGAUUUUCCCCAAGUCAAAUAAAUAGUGAACAACCGGGUUGGGAUUUGAAGUCGCACCGACGACCUGAAGCGCAGAUUUCCUGAUGGACGGAACCUGGUUUUGCAAAUAGCCUUGAAUAAAGGGCUCAGAAGUCCUGAGGUAUAAUCUUGUCUCCGUUACUAACUGGUUGUGAGACCAUGGACAACUCUCUCUUUGAUCCUGCUGUACCUCUCUGUAAAAUGGAAAGGCUGGCUGCUCUCCAAGGUCCCUCCCUGCUCCGACAGCCUGACGUGCUGAGAAAAUAAUUGCCAAGAACGACUUCCUCAGAAGCUUCAAGGACCGGUCUAUUCUUGGCUUUUCUAAACAUAAUCCCCGCUGUCCCCCCAAACUUGUAAGAUUAAAAAACUGCUCCGUCACAAGGGUAUUAAGAGGAGGUAAUGCGAUCUCAAGAACUUGGAGAAGGCAACCCUGCAGAACAGGUUUUGUUUAAUUUAUUCUUUCACUUGAUGACCUUGAAGAAGAUUCAAAACUUCUAAUUAUAAGCAUGGUGAAAGUGGGAAGUUUUUGGUUCAGUGAUUUGAUCCUUUGGGCCAACUGGAUAAACUCCAAGGAAGACUCUUGAGCAGGUCCUAAUUCCUACACUUCAUGGAGGAAGGCACAGGAAGAUGGAAUCUGACCUCCAACCUGCAGAGUGACAGGGAUGUCUUGGGGAAGAGUUCAUUGAGGUAAGGCAAACAUGGGAAAGGUGGGAAAGGAAAGUGGAUUUUCCCCCACCCUGCUUUCAUCUCAGGUUCUUUACCCACUGCAAUAACUAUUCUAGAGAAAAAGGAUAAAUUCCUCCAUGGUCAGAGAGAUCUCAGUGUCACUUGGGCCUAAAUUAAUCCCUAUUCCUCCCUCAAGUGGCCACAGAACAAAACAUUUAGUCCUUGGCCACAGAUGAUGUUUGACCUCCCCCAAUUCGACAAGGAUUUAUGAAGUUCCAACUGCGCGUCAGAAGUUGUGCUAGAUGCUGACAAUACAAGGACAAAAGCGAGAAUGAUCUACCCUCAGGGAGCUUCCAUUCACGGUUACACCCUUGUAUUUGGUCUUGGGCACCAAGGAUCCAGGUGAUGGUUUCUCCACUCAAGGAACCACCUGAAGAACAGAGCAUGAAUGGUUCUUUGCAUCCAGAUAAAAGGUCGUAGCAGUGAGUGGAAGCUCCUUGAGGAAUUAAAUGGGUUAAAGAUACUUCACCCUGUAAAUGAGGCAGUGUUGGCCAACGGAAAGAGUAUGAAUGGACUGGAAACCUUGAAGCCCAAGUUCCAGUCAGUCCUAGCUCUGUCAUUAGGGAGCUGGGUAUUUAGGUCACUCACUUAACCCCUUUGUGUCCUGGUCUGCAAAAUAGGAAUGAGGUAAAACACCAUUGUAAAACCAUUUACCAAAAUGUGCUGGAAAAUGCAAGAUUUGGCAAAAGAAGUGAAGACCCAUAUCCAACCAGUGAGCAGGGGCAGGGUGGCGGGGAGGGAGCACCUUCUUGGGGUCUGUUCUAGUUCUUCCUUUCCCUGGGAUGAUACGGAGGUGUCAGGAAGACGUUGAGGUAGAUUUAAGAUCCUGAGAGUGAGUCAGACCCUGAGAGGCCUGAGGGUGGGGAGGUCUAGGGAGGGAAUGCUAGAGAAAUACUAGUGGUGUUAGUCAAAGCUCCCAUGCCUCUCACCUCAUGCCUGGAUUACCUGCUGAGAGGUCUGCCUGCCUCAAGUCUCUCCCCACUCCAAUCCAUCCUGCACUCAGUCAGUAGUGAUUUUCCAAAAGCACAGGUCUUAUCAUGUCAUGCACCACUCCCUCUCCCCUCAGUAAACUCCAGUAGCUUCCUAUCACCUCCAGGAUCAAACACAAAAUGCUCUUUGGCAUUCAAAGCCUCCAUAACCCAGCCCCCUUCUAGCUUUGCAGUGUUCUUAUACCUCACUUCCCAACAUGAAACUCUUGGAUCCAUCCAGUGACACUGGCCUCCUGGACAUUCCAUGAACAAGAUACUCCGUCUGUCAGCUC